AGGACGAACGCUGGCGGCGUGCUUAACACAUGCAAGUCGAGCGGUAAGGCUCCUUCGGGAGUACACGAGCGGCGAACGGGUGAGUAACACGUGAGUAAUCUGCCCUUCACUCGGGGAUAAGCCUCGGAAACGAGGUCUAAUACCCGAUACGACCGGCCUUCGCAUGAAGUGCUGGUGGAAAGUUUUGUCGGUGGAGGAUGUGCUCGCGGCCUAUCAGCUUGUUGGUGGGGUAAUGGCCCACCAAGGCUUCGACGGGUAGCCGGCCUGAGACGGGUGACCGGGCCAACGACCGUGGGACUGGAGACACGGCCCAGACUCCUACGGGAGGCAGCAGUGGGAAUAUUGGACAAUGGGCGAAAGCCUGAUCCAGCAACGCCGCGUGAGGGAUGACGGCCUUCGGGUGUAAACUCUUUCAGUACCGACGAAGCGCUCCUAGGAGUGGUGACGGUAGGUACGAGAAGAAGGACCGGCCAACUACGUGCCAGCAGCCGAC
rnacentral:rRNA from 1 species